rnacentral:lncRNA from 1 species
UGACGCAAUAAUUUAUUAACCGACAAUGUGCACGUAUAUAAUAUAAGUAAUAAAGAUAUAACUAAAACUAUUUUUUUUAUAAUUAUGUAAAAAGGAAGUAUAUAAAGAGACUAUUUGUCUUUUAUACAAGGUUGAUCACAAUUAAUCUUGAUCAUUGAAUAUGAAAUUGGAUAGCUGCAUUUAUUUAAUUGAUCAAGCUCAAAGUUCAAAAGAAAUUUUCUCGAACUUUAUAACAUACCCAAAUUAUCAAAUUUUAUGUCAGAUCGUGGUAAGUAAUUGCGACCUCUCUAUACCAAAAAAUAAAUGGUAUCGUCAUAUACAAUCCCAUAAAAGAAAAUGUUUCAAUAGCUCAAGGGGUCUGAUUUUGAAAAUUACUACGUAACAAAUUUUAAUCGUUAAAGGUGUCGAGUUUGGUUCUCCAUGUUUGAGAAAUGUAAAAGGUUUUGCUCUGGUCUUUGUGCAAUAAAAAAUAAGUAAUUGCAUACCAGUUGUCCCCUUUUUAUUGAAUGCCAAAAAGCUCAAUUUAGUUGGUUAUUUUCUUUUGGCCUCAAGACGAUAAGUCUUCCAAAACGAAUAAAAGGAUUAAGGAUCGGGUUUUACUUUGAUUGAUUAGCAGUUGAUGUCCAGUAACGCUACAUCUCAAGUUCAAAUUCCCAAGAUUGAGCUAUCAAAACAGUUCAAUUCCUACAACUGAGGUACCCAAAAUAAUAAUAAUAAUAAGUUCAAUUAAUAGAUAUAGAGUUUUAAAAAUACUUUACUUUUUAAACCCAUCCAUUUCAAUGGCCAAUUGGAACUAAUUAGAAGCUUACAGGCUUCAAACUACUCCACAUUUAACCUCGCACUUAAGAAAGAUAAGAAAUAGGGAGUUUGGAUGACAGCUACAGAACAAUGCGAAAUUUUUAUUUUCCAAAUCGAAUAGAACAAUGCGAAAUCUGUAUUUUCCAAUCGAACGGUGUAAACUCAAGUAAUAUUACAGAAGAAGGCAGCAACGUUUGGCAAUUAUAACCUUUUUUUAAUAGAAAUGGUUUAUAUAAGGUACUAACUGUAUAUGUUCAUCUCAAAAGCAUAUACUUGAAAAGGUUAUCCUGAUAUUGGAAAACCUUUCAAUUUCUGAUCAUGAGCUCAAGAUGUACAUAUAUGAAGGGAAAAAGAAGAUUUCAUGUCUUUAAUUUUCAAAACUUUCAAGCGUUUAAAAAUCUACUCGGCCUGCACUAUUUUUGGAUAUUUGAAUUUCAUAAUUAAGGGUUGAAAUAAAUUCUUAGCCCAUCCUAGGGUUUGGGCAUGUAUUUUUUGACAUAGUUUAAAGAUGGAAAAAGUUUAUAUAAGGAUGCAAUCUUAUAAUGUAGAACUAUAGAUGCACCUCAAAAAUCGUUCGUAAAAAGUAGUUUUAAUGUUGAAAUACUUUUUGAUUGAUCACUCGACAUCCAGAUGUAUGACCAUGAAAAAUAAAAAGAUUUUAAAUCUCAGAAAUAGUGCAUUUUACAAC